rnacentral:rRNA from 1 species
AACGAACGCUGGCGGCAUGCCUAACACAUGCAAGUCGAACGAGACCUUCGGGUCUAGUGGCGCACGGGUUCGUAACGCGUGGGAACCGGCACUUAGGGUUGGAAUAACUCCCCGAAAGGGGUGCUAAUACCGGAUAAGGUCUUCGGACCAAAGAUUUAUCGCACCUGGAUGGGCCCGGGUUGGAUUAGCUUGUGGGUAGGGUAAAAGCCUAACAAGGCUACGAUGAGUAACUGGCCAGAGAGGAGGAUUAGCCACACUGGGACUGAGACACGGUCCAGACUCCUGCGGGAGGCAGCCGUCCGGAAUCCUCCGCGAUGGGCGGAAGCGUGACUUUGCAACGCCGCGUGAGUGAUGAAGCCCUUCGGGCCGUAGAACUCUGUUAGUCGUGAAGUUUAAAAGUGUUAUUAACCAUGCACGUCUUGACGGUACCCGGUCAGAAAGCCACGGCUAACUACGUG